rnacentral:lncRNA from 1 species
UUAAAACUAAUCUUGAUAUUUGUAUCAGCAUGUUUAUUUCGUUUAGGCAUGUAGUGUAGGUUCAGAAGUUGUAGGUCGGCAAGGGUUCAGGGGAGGCGUGCGAAAAAGGCGUGAUGCCAAGCUGCCGUGUGAGAUGGCGAGCACGGCGAGAUGCCGAUGACAGCGAGAGGCUGCAAAGCUGCGCGAGGCGGCACGGCCGUGCGUACGGCAAGCGCAUGGACGGCGAAGCGGCACCGGCUGGAUGGAUUGGUUAGAUGCAUGCAAGUGGUUAGCUAGCUUCAUGGAUGAGUUUGUUAGCAUGCAUGAGUAGCUAGUUGUAUGGCUGAGUCGUUGGAGCGAUUCCAGGGAUAAAGAUAAGUCCAUGGGCUAGUGGGAUUAGUUGCCGAGGGUAGUGGCUGGCUAGUGCAUGGGUCUGCAUGAAGUAUGUAGCGUUAGUUGGUUAGUGGCCAACGUGGUGGUCGGGUUAGUGGGUGUGUCCUACCCCUGGUGUAUAUAUAUGUACUGCAUUGGAGUAAUGAAAUGAAGAGGCUGUGAGGGCACAAGUGGCAAGAUGUAGCACUAGUGUUCACCAAGGAGCAGACCCUCUUGGCAAAGCAGCGGCUGUCUUCUCUUUGGUGUAUGCGUGUGUGUGUGUGNNNNNNNNNNNNNGCGAGGUGAUGGCUGGCAGCGGCGCGAUGCCGCGGGCGGCCGGUUGCGGUGCGAUGCCGCGAGAUGAAGGUGGUGCGAUGAUCGGCGUCGCGAGGACGUCAUCCACGACAAGAUGGUCCGUGGUGACCGGCGCUGCGACGGCGUCGGUUGUGGCGCGACGGACUUCAUGCGAGAUGGAGGCCGACGGCGCAAGAAGGAGGAUGGUGGCCAUGCGGUGCCGCUAUGUGAAGAUGGCGGUGCGAAGCUGCCACAAGAAGAGUCGGCGUGAUGCCGACGACGGUGGUGUGAUGCCAUCGUCAUCAUGGAAAGUUGGUGUGAAGCCAACAAAAGUUGCGGUGCGAUGCCGCUUGGCGAAGACGGCGUGGUGAUCGGCGCUGCGACAGCGUCGUCCACGUCGAGAGGAGGCCGCCACGAGCGGCAAGUCGGCAUGGUGACGGACGCUGUGAUGGGGCCGUCUACGACAAGAUGGUGUGCGGUGGUGAUCGGCAUUUUGAUGAUGUCGUCCAUAGAAAGUACGGCGCUGCGACGGCGUCGACAAGUGGCUGCGGGUGAUCCGUAUGACGAUUGUGAUAUCAAGAUUAGGGGGGUGAAUGUUAAAACUAAUCUUGAUAUUUGUAUCAGCAUGUUUAUUUCGUUUAGGCAUGUAGUGUAGGUUCAGAAGUUGUAGGUCGGCAAGGGUUCAGGGGAGGCGUGCGAAAAAGGCGUGAUGCCAAGCUGCCGUGUGAGAUGGCGAGCACGGCGAGAUGCCGAUGACAGCGAGAGGCUGCAAAGCUGCGCGAGGCGGCACGGCCGUGCGUACGGCAAGCGCAUGGACGGCGAAGCGGCACCGGCUGGAUGGAUUGGUUAGAUGCAUGCAAGUGGUUAGCUAGCUUCAUGGAUGAGUUUGUUAGCAUGCAUGAGUAGCUAGUUGUAUGGCUGAGUCGUUGGAGCGAUUCCAGGGAUAAAGAUAAGUCCAUGGGCUAGUGGGAUUAGUUGCCGAGGGUAGUGGCUGGCUAGUGCAUGGGUCUGCAUGAAGUAUGUAGCGUUAGUUGGUUAGUGGCCAACGUGGUGGUCGGGUUAGUGGGUGUGUCCUACCCCUGGUGUAUAUAUAUGUACUGCAUUGGAGUAAUGAAAUGAAGAGGCUGUGAGGGCACAAGUGGCAAGAUGUAGCACUAGUGUUCACCAAGGAGCAGACCCUCUUGGCAAAGCAGCGGCUGUCUUCUCUUUGGUGUAUGCGUGUGUGUGUGUGGAGUUUCACCAUGACCGUGUAGUGUGUGUUCUUGAGAGAAACAAAGAGAGAUGGAGAUUGAGUUGUGAGAGGCAGCUCAAGGUAGAAGAAGAAGUGGCGCUGCG